rnacentral:rRNA from 1 species
UACGUAGGGGGCGAGCGUUAUCCAGAUUUACUGGGCGUAAAGCGCGUGUAGGCGGCUGGUUAGGUGUGAUGUGAAAGCCCCCGGCUCAACUGGGGAGUGUCGUGCGAUACGGGCGGACUGGAGGCCAGUAGGGGGAUGCGGAAUUCCGGGUGUAGUGGUGGAAUGCGUAGAGAUCAUAAGGAAGACCAGUGGCGAAGGCGGGUCUCUGGACAGUUCCUGACACUGAGGCACGAAGGCCAGGGGAGCAAACGGG